UACAGAGGGUGCAAGCGUUGUUCGGAAUUAUUGGGCGUAAAGGGCGCGUAGGCGGCGCGACAAGUCACCUGUGAAAUCUCCGGGCUCAACUCGGAGCCUGCAGGCGAAACUGUCGUGCUGGAGUAUGGGAGAGGUGCGUGGAAUUCCCGGUGUAGCGGUGAAAUGCGUAGAUAUCGGGGAGGAACACCUGUGGCGAAAGCGGCUCUCUGGGACGGUAUUGACGCUGAGACGCGAAAGCGUGGGGAGCGAACAGG
rnacentral:rRNA from 1 species